rnacentral:tRNA from 1 species
GGGCCUGUAGCUUAAGGGGAGAGCGCCUGCUUCGCAGGCAGGAAGAUGGGAGUUCAAGUCUCCCCAGGUCCA